GGAUAUUGACGAAGUCUGAAAGAAGUUCGGAGUAGGGUCGUCCGUGGCCGGAAGAAGUCUGGAAGGGAUUCGGAGAAUAGUUAAUCACUGUAGAAGAUCGACUGAUAGUGAAGCCCAAAGAGCAUUUGGAGCGGCUCGGUAGAUGAAUGGAAAAGCUCAUUGUCGAAGAAGUCCGGAUGGUCAAGGGAGUUCAGAAAGACGUCA
rnacentral:lncRNA from 1 species